CUAAACCCCAACAUCGCCCUCGCGGAGGCGGGGGCCCAUACCACGGCGCCGAAUUCGGUUACGUGGAAUAGGCCCCCGCCUGCGCGAGGGCGAUGUAGUGCCUAUA
rnacentral:pre_miRNA from 1 species